rnacentral:lncRNA from 1 species
GUACUUAGAGAGAAUUUGCUGAGGAACCAAUCAAACAAAUUUUGGGGCUGGAGAGAUUGCUCAGUGGUUAGGAAUGUUUGCUGCUCUUGCAGAGGACCUUGCAGUUUGGUUCCCAGCACUCAUUAUCAGGCAGCUGACACUGCCUGUGAUUCCAGUACCAAGGGAUCUGAUCUGACCUGCUGACCUCUGCAGGUACCCACACUUGUGUGCACAUACCUACAAAUAGAUAAACAUGAGUAAAAAUAAAGCAAAUAGCUUUUUAAAAGAAACAAAUUUUGAAUUUUUUUUUGUGUUUAUAUAUGUGUUUCAGUUGAGUUAUAUUGACUGCUGUCUCAUGUACAUAUUGUUUCUAGUAUUGAUUUUAAUAUCUACUAACUCAUUAUGAUGAAUCUUAUUUGUAUAGGAAGCUAAUGUGAGAAAGUAUUUCAUGUUCAUUUGCAGGUCUUUUGAGAAGACAUCAGCUAGCUUUUGCUUGCAUGAUGGUUAAUGAUAAAGUUUUGUCACUUAUGUCAUGGCUAAUAAGUCUAGUGUUUUCAGGACCCAGGUCCAUGGUGAUCUGUUUAAUGAAGCACAUACUGACAUUUCUUUAUAUCACAUUAAUUCUUUGUAGUAUACCGGGCACUUUUGAAUAAUUUAUCAGUAAUUUAAUUUGUCUGACUAGUCAUUAUUAUGUUCUGACAAGAUCAGUAUUUUUUUAAAUCUACUAUUUAUCAUCAUCACAUCACAUCACAUCACAUCACAUCACAUCACAUCACAUCACAUUCUUUGAACAGGCUGACCAGUGAGCCCUUGGCAUCUGUCUGUUUCCUUCCCCAAUACUGGGGAUCCAGGCAUGAGUAGCCCCACUUUUUUUUGGUGGGGAUUUGAACUCAGGCCUCCAUAUUUACAAAGCAGAUAUAAACCAUUUUUCUGUUGGUUACUGGUAAAACUCUUAAUUGCUGACACAGUAUCUAAAUGGCUGCUGUGAUUUAAGGAGAAAAAGAUAUUUUGCCAGGUGUUGUUGGGCAUGUCUAUGAUCCCCCACUACCUGUGAGUGAUGGGGGGGGGGGGAGAGGGGUAGUUCAAGUAUGUUUAUAGCAAAUUCCAGGUCAGCUUGGGCUGCAGGAACCCUUUCAAAAAAAAGAAAAAAGAUAAGUCCUUAAUUAUAAAUUACUGACAAUGUCAAGAUAAGUAUAGUGCUGUGAUAAAAGGUGUGCUAUUUACUAACUAAUCUCUUAAGUUUUUGUACUGCAAGGUCAUUUGGAUUCCAGUGAUUAUUAUGGUUUGGAUAUUAGUAUUUGUAUGAAUUUUACAUUAAAAGUAUUACUUUGUUCCAUAGGGUCAGGAGAAAUAUGGACUGUUAAAUGUAACAAAAAUUACUGAAAAUGGGAAAAAAGUUCGCAGAAAGAACUGGUUGUCUUCUUGGGCAGUGCUGCAGGGUUCGUCUUUACUUUUUACGAAAACUCAAGGAAGUAGUACAAGCUGGUUUGGGAGUAAUCAGUCCAAACCAGAAUUCACAGUGGACCUGAAGGGGGCAGUGAUUGAAAUGGCAUCAAAGGACAAAUCGAGCAAGAAGAAUGUAUUUGAGGUAAAUAACUCACAUUCUUGGCUUUAGGGUGUACAUGUUUCAGGGUUUUGUUGUGACAAAUUUAGGCAAAGUUUGUGACUAAGUCAUUUGUACCAUUAUGUUGUAAGGGCACUGGUAUGUGUUGUGGGGAGAGGUAUCUAAUGCCUUCUUAAUGUCUCUGUGGCCCUAGAACUAUUUUACAGCAAUGAAGUCUCUCCUCCUUGUCAUUCCAAACCUUCCACAACAGUUUGUGAUCUGUAUCAGUUUUUUUAUCAGUAUAUAAUAACUCAUAUAUAACUUUAGAGCUCAGCAGCUUUGUAGGAGAGAAUGGCUGCUCUGCUCUCACCUGGGGACCAGUCAUGAGUCUCAGAUGGAGUGGGUAGUUGGACUGACUCAUUUUACCCACAUGUCCUAUAUUGGCUCAUGGAUAGGCUUCCUUCUUCCUAAGAUCUCUCUUGUUUUACCCAAGAAGCUAACACCGGCUUCUCCACAUGGCAAGUUACACACUAGCACAGGGUGAGAGAUGACAGGGCUUCUCAAGGCCUAGUCUUGGAAGCUGACCACCCUCCAUGUACUCUGUUGUAGCACAGCUCAGAGGCCUCGCUCACAUUCAGGGUCCUGAGAAGUGAGAGUCCACCUGGGUCAGAGAGGAGUAAAGUCCAUUGCAGAAAGUUGGGGGCAUUUUUGAGAUGUGUUUGUUUUCUGCCUUCUUUUCCCCAUUCUUUAUAGCCUCAUGUCCUAGGCACUUUGGCCUUGCCAGUGCUUUCCAAGCAGAAUCUACAUGAUUAUUUCUCUUUACUGUCCUACCUUAUGUUCCAACCCACACUAAGCUCUGCUCCCCAAAUUCUGUUUAUCGCUAAGACUCAGGACAAAUGCUACUACAGUGAUGCUACUUAUAGUGGUUAACUUUGUUCUGCUCUUAGGAAACUCUUUUAUCUUUGAUCAGGAAACCCUCCCUUGUCUAUAACAGCAUACAUUUAGUGUUGGGGGUUGGCUGGACCAUCUUGUCUAGAAAGAUGCAUGAAAGGAUGCCAUUACUUCCCAAAUCAGCUUUGCAGUUUCAGUAGCUGGUUCCUGAAUGAGAAAAGAAUCCAUGAUCAAAUGCAUUUUGGAAUAGUAUGUGUUUUAUCCCUAUUUUAGACAAUUUCAGUAUUCUCUAGACUGUCAAACUCCUGAGAAAUCUCAAAGGAGAGUGUCUUCUUUGACCUGAUGCUUUUCAGGUUAAUAUUUCAUCAUAUCUUACCUUUUUUUUUUUUUUUGAGGAAUAGCCUUACCAAAUAGUACUUAGGAAAUUAUGGGGUAAUUGAUUGUUUGGGAGAAAAUUGCCAAAUGUUCUUCUAGAAAAACAAACUCAGUUAAUCAGCCAGGAAAGGAGAGGGAUGUUUUCAUAACUUACAGUUCUUUCAUUGAAGUGUAAAAAAAAACAAAAACAAAAACAUGUAGUCCAAAGAGAUUAAGUUGGUUUUGGGUUUCAUGUAAAAUAAUAGAUAUUCUUACAUCAGUUCAUGAUUAGAUAGUUACUAAUGUUUAUGUUCAGAAGGGGUAUGAAGGUUGGUGGGUUAGCUCAACAGUUAAAGGCAUUUCCUGCCAGGCUUGGGUUCAGUUCCUGGGAUUAACAUGGAGGAGGAGAGAAUUGACUAGUUGUCCUCUGACAUCCAUAGUCAGGCCAUGGUGUACAUGUGAACACACACACACACAAACACACACUAAAUAAAUGAAUUAAGUUAAUAGAUGUAUAAACAUUUUAAAGGGAUGUAACAUUGUCAUUUGUGCCUUGUCUUCAUAGUCAUCAUUGUCUGGUAAGUAGGAAAUACUGAAAACUUAACACUUAAACAGUCAUUCAUAUAUAUUAAGAAUUAAGAAAAUUCUCAGGCUAUGAAAAAAUUCUUAAGGUGUGUGAAAUACAACAGACUUUUAUUUCUUUACAAAUGUUCCAGUUUUCAUUGUCUGCAUUGCUUUUACACUUGAAUUUAUUUUUAAAUGAUAAACUAUACUACUCUAGGAUCCAGAAUUACUAGAUUUUUCUUUAGAAUUUACC